rnacentral:rRNA from 1 species
AACGAACGCUGGCGGCAUGCCUAACACAUGCAAGUCGAACGAGACCUUCGGGUCUAGUGGCGCACGGGUGCGUAACGCGUGGGAACCUGCCCUUAGGUUCGGAAUAACUCCCCGAAAGGGGUGCUAAUACCGGUUAAUGUCUUCGGACCAAAGAUUUAUGGCCUUUGGAUGGGCCCGGGUUGGAUUAGCUGGUUGGUAGGGUAAAAGCCUACCAAGGGGACGAUCCAUAGCUGGUCUGAGAGGAGGAUAAGCCACGCUGGGACUGAGACACGGCCCAGACUCCUACGGAAGGCAGCAGUGGGGAAUAUUGGACAAUGGGCGAAAGUCUGAUAAAGCCAUGCCGGGUGAGUGAUGAAGGCCUUAGGGUUGUAAAGCUCUUUUACCCGGGAUGAUAAUGACGGUACCGGGAGAAUAAGCACCGGCUAACUCCGUG